CACAAGCGGUGGAGCAUGUGGUUUAAUUCGAAGCAACGCGAAGAACCUUACCAGGUCUUGACAUCCCAGUGACCGCUCUAGAGAUAGAGUUUUUCUUCGGAACACUGGUGACAGGUGGUGCAUGGUUGUCGUCAGCUCGUGUCGUGAGAUGUUGGGUUAAGUCCCGCAACGAGCGCAACCCUUAUUGUUAGUUGCCAUCAUUCAGUUGGGCACUCUAGCGAGACUGCCGGUAAUAAACCGGAGGAAGGUGGGGAUGACGUCAAAUCAUCAUGCCCCUUAUGACCUGGGCUACACACGUGCUACAAUGGUUGGUACAACGAGUCGCAAGUCGGUGACGGCAAGCAAAUCUCUUAAAGCCAAUCUCAGUUCGGAUUGUAGGCUGCAACUCGCCUACAUGAAGUCGGAAUCGCUAGUAAUCGCGGAUCAGCACGCCGCGGUGAAUACGUUCCCGGGCCUUGUACACACCGCCCGUCACACCACGAGAGUUUGU
rnacentral:rRNA from 1 species